GACGAACGCUGGCGGCGUGCCUAAUACAUGCAAGUCGAACGCAGUGGGGACGGGUGCGUAACACGUGGGUAACCUCCCAUCAGAGGGGAUAACACUUGGAAACAGGUGCUAAACCGAUACUGAUGGAUGGACCCGCGGUGCAUUAGCUAGUUGGUGGGGUAACGGCUCACCAAGGCCACGAUGCAUAGCCGGCCUGAGAGGAGGAUCAGCCACACUGGGACUGAGACACGGCCCAGACUCCUACGGGAGGCAGCAGUAGGGAAUAUUGGGAAAUGGGCGCAAGUCUGAUCGAGCCACGCCGCGUGAGUGAAGAAGGUUUUCGGGGCGUAAAACACUGUUGUUCGGGAAGCGGUAUCUAACCAAAAAGCCACGGCUAACUACGUGCCAGCCGCCGCGGUAAUAC
rnacentral:rRNA from 1 species